rnacentral:rRNA from 1 species
GUGUCAGCCGCCGCGGUAAGACGAACCGUGCGAACGUUGUUCGGAAUCACUGGGCUUAAAGGGCGCGUAGGCGGGCCGGACAGUCUGUGGUGAAAGCCCCCAGCUUAACUGGGGAAGUGCCAUGGAUACUGCCGGUCUUGAGGAGGGUAGGGGCAUCUGGAACGCUGGGUGGAGCGGUGAAAUGCGUUGAUAUCCAGCGGAACUCCGGUGGCGAAGGCGAGGUGCUGGACCCUUUCUGACGCUGAGUGCGCGAAAGCCAGGGGAGCAAACGGGAUUAGAAACCCCCGUAGUCC